rnacentral:rRNA from 1 species
UAUCGGAACGUGCCCUGUAGCGGGGGAUAACCUAUCGAAAGAUGGACUAAUACCGCAUACGCUCUACGGAGGAAAGCGGGGGUUCUUGGGCAACUGAGGACCUCGCACUAUAGGAGCGGCCGAUAUCGGAUUAGCUAGUUGGCGGGGUAAAAGCCCACCAAGGCGACGAUCCGUAGCUGGUCUGAGAGGAUGAUCAGCCACACUGGAACUGAGACACGGUCCAG